rnacentral:sRNA from 1 species
CACACCCAGCUAUAGAUCGAGAUAUCAGGAUGCAAUUUUUUAUCUAUCUAUCUACCUACCUAUUUAUUUGCCUUUAAAAGUCCCUUAUUCUAAACACUCCCAGUGCUACACUUAGAUCCCAAAUACCUGUGUAGCCAGCUGGAAUGAAGACAUUCAAUUGUCUAUAAACUGUGACAAAAUGGCCAUCUCUGGGGGGCUCCGCAUAACAAUGUCACACUGUCUCCUCCCAAGGCUCAGGGAUCACUGUGGAAGAAGGAUCAAAGAGUUGUAAGAGUCAGAGAAGACAGACGACUACAGCGGUUUUUUUAAGGCACAACAGGACGCUUGAAGUUACAGCCCAGUUAAGGAGGUCUAACGUGUGUCUUUGGACUUCCUGCAGCCUUGAAAAUCCCAAGUUCUUGGGAAAGAAAAAAAAAGGACCUAAUUUUAUAGUUGCCAAGUGUCUCAAAGGCUUACAACAUUUAGUGAAGGGGAAGUCUGGCCAGCACCUCUCUACAACGAGGCCCAUUUUAAAGGGUGAAAUCACCAGCAAGCAGAAAGGCAUGAAAAUACCGUGACUCCCUGUAAAUAGACCAGAAGAGCACAUGAUAUGAAACGAGAGUUGGGAAGGGCAGCUCAUGGUGUUUGAGGGGAGCUCACUGCCUAUGACGUGCCUCCAGUUGCCAUGAUUCGGAUCCCUCACCUGUCAGGGAGGAGCCGGGAAAGCGCUGUGUUCUGAGUUGGGCCUUGCAGAACCAUGGCUCCUGUGAAACAGAAAAACGUGUUGUGUCGGUUACCUUUCUACUGCUGUAAUAAAACUCCAUGAGCAAGG